UCCAAACAGCCGGACGACAGAGCGGCCCCCGGCACCCCGUAGACUCGUGCGGCGCAUCCUAGCUGCUCGGCCAGCGCGGCACAAAUCUUUCUCUGGUAUGAACAAUGGAAGUAUAUUGUGGCUGUCAGCAAAAGAAAGGCCUGAUCCAAGGCCCACUCAAGGCACUGGAAAGACAUGAGUCACUUUCAAUGGAAUCUGAAUCAAGUCUGAAUCUGAAUGAGGAGGAAUAAAUACUACGGUUGCCAAGAAUGAUCUCCAAAAGAACAAGAUUCCAAUAGAAUAAAUGUCUUUAAUUUAGCCAUUUCAUAAUAAAUUUUGAAUUUUAUAAAAAGGUACUAUAACUGCCAGAUAAAAUGACUCCCACUCUUUUUGCCAUUAGCCCAAGGAUUAAACAGCCUUCCUGGGUAACAGAUUUAUUUGCCUUCUUCACUUCUCAGGCUGUAAACAAUGUCAGCUGCAUUUUAGACUGGUUAAUAUUAUGGACACACAGAAUCAACUUUAUAUGUAUAAUCAUGGGCAUGACUGGUAACUUGGCUCCCAGUGUCUAGAAUCACAAUUAAACACUUGACAAAC